GUCAGCACGCUGGCGGCGUGCCUUAACACAUGCAAGUCGAACGGAGUUAUUCGCUGAUGCAGCUUCGGCAGAAUUCUUGAAUAACUUAGUGGCGGACGGGUGAGUAACGCGUGGGUAACCUGCCUCAUACAGGGGGAUAGCAGUUGGAAACGACUGAUAACACCGCAUAAGCGCACAGUAUCGCAUGAUACAGUGUGAAAAUAUUUAUAGGUAUGAGAUGGACCCGCGUCUGAUUAGCUAGUUGGUGAGGUAACGGCCCACCAAGGCGACGAUCAGUAGCCGGCCUGAGAGGGCGGACGGCCACAUUGGGACUGAGACACGGCCCAAACUCCUACGGGAGGCAGCAGUGGGGGAUAUUGCACAAUGGGCGAAAGCCUGAUGCAGCGACGCCGCGUGAGUGAAGAAGUAUUUCGGUAUGUAAAGCUCUAUCAGCAGGGAAGAAAGACCUCGUAAGAGGGGAUGACGGUACCUGAGUAAGAAGCCCCGGCUAACUACGUGCCAGCAGCCGCGGUAAUACGUAGGGGGCAAGCGUUAUCCGGAUUUACUGGGUGUAAAGGGAGCGUAGACGGUAUAUCAAGUCUGAAGUGAAACCCCACGGCUCAACCGUGGGCUUGCUUUGGAAACUGGUAUACUAGAGUACUGGAGAGGUAAGCGGAAUUCCUGGUGUAGUAGUGAAAUGCGUAGAUAUUAGGAGGAACAUCGGUGGCGAAGGCGGCUUACUGGACAGCAACUGACGUUGAGGCUCGAAGGCGUGGGGAGCAAACA
rnacentral:rRNA from 1 species